rnacentral:rRNA from 1 species
UACGUAGGGUGCAAGCGUUAAUCGGAAUUACUGGGCGUAAAGCGUGCGCAGGCGGUUAUGUAAGUCAGAUGUGAAAUCCCCGGGCUCAACCUGGGAACUGCAUUUGUGACUGCAUAGCUAGAGUACGGUAGAGGGGGAUGGAAUUCCUGGUGUAGCAGUGAAAUGCGUAGAUAUCAGGAGGAACACCGAUGGCGAAGGCAGGUCUCUGGGCUGACACUGACGCUCAUGCACGAAGGCAUGGGGAUCAAACAGG